GGGCAGCCACUGCAGGGGUUAUAAGACCCUCAUUCCAGAGUGGUACUGCCCUGCGUCUGGGAAGAAGGAAGGCCACACAGAGAGACCAAGAAGAAUCCUAACAGACAGGGCUUGCUUGGUUUCCCCCUCAGUCUCUUACCGUUAGAUCAGACCUCUUUGGUCCUACCACGUUUCUACAUGGCUGUCCAUUCUUCAUCGAAUCUAAGAAUAAAAAUGGAUAGUUUUCC
rnacentral:lncRNA from 10 species